CGAUGUUGCUCAAUACCGUAGUUUGUCUGUGAAGUCUGCAGAGGGUGCCGACAGUAGCCAGUAUGAUCAUGUAUUUAUGUGUGAUAAAUGUGUAUCAGCUGCGCUAGUUUGAAGGUCCUCCACCGUCCAUAGUUCCUCCAUCUGGUAGAACCACAAGGUCAACGGAGGAAUCACUGCCUGUUUCCAGUAUUGUGGGAUCACCAUUUUAGUUAUGUUCAGGAUAUGGAUCUUGAGAGAUUUUUAUACAAAGAUCUAG